GAUGAACGCUGGCGGCGUGCCUAAUACAUGCAAGUCGAGCGAGUGGAUUAAGAGCUUGCUCUUAUGAAGUUAGCGGCGGACGGGUGAGUAACACGUGGGUAACCUGCCCAUAAGACUGGGAUAACUCCGGGAAACCGGGGCUAAUACCGGAUAACAUUUUGAACCGCAUGGUUCGAAAUUGAAAGGCGGCUUCGGCUGUCACUUAUGGAUGGACACGCGUCGCAUUAGCUAGUUGGUGAGGUAACGGCUCACCAAGGCAACGAGGCGUAGCCGACCUGAGAGGGUGAUCGGCCACACUGGGACUGAGACACGGCCCAGACUCCUACGGGAGGCAGCAGUAGGGAAUCUUCCGCAAUGGACGAAAGUCUGACGGAGCAACGCCGCGUGAGUGAUGAAGGCUUUCGGGUCGUAAAACUCUGUUGUUAGGGAAGAACAAGUGCUAGUUGAAUAAGCUGGCACCUUGACGGUACCUAACCAGAAAGCCACGGCUAACUACGUGCCAGCCGCCGCAGUAA
rnacentral:rRNA from 1 species